rnacentral:rRNA from 1 species
UACGAAGGGGGCUAGCGUUGCUCGGAAUCACUGGGCGUAAAGCGCACGUAGGCGGAUCUUUAAGUCAGGGGUGAAAUCCCAAGGCUCAACCUUGGAACUGCCUUUGAUACUGGGGAUCUCGAGUCCGGAAGAGGUGAGUGGAACUGCGAGUGUAGAGGUGAAAUUCGUAGAUAUUCGCAAGAACACCAGUGGCGAAGGCGGCUCACUGGUCCGGUACUGACGCUGAGGUGCGCAAGCGUGGGGAGCAAACAGG